AUUACUUUUUGAAUUACAGAUUCCGUUGCGAGAGUCGGCUUGACAAACGUUUAAAGUAACGAUAUACAUUAAUUUUAAAUAAAGCAUUAACUAGAAAAGAAAAGCGGCCGAUAACAUAUGGAAGAGGAAAAGGGUUGAUGGAGAAAGAUAUAAAGAGAUUUUUUGGUGUCUUACAAUUUAGAAUGAAAUUUAAAUUUAUGCAAUAACCGUAAGGAAUAUUAAAAGUUUCUGAUGUUUCUUCGUUAAUUUGUUGAUUGGUGUAAAGAAAACAUUUCAAGUGAAGAUGUAAUUUUCUGGUGUAAAACGUCGAAGAAAGAAUCUAUCCAUUCUCGGCCAAUAGAGGACAUUUCUGUGUAAUGACUGGAGAAUUGUUUCCAAGAAAACAGAAAAGUUGAAGGAUGUAUUUAUCUUCUUUACGAAAUACUGAAAUUGAAGUCACUCAUAGAAAGAUACAUGAAUACAUCAAUAAGAAGAAUUUUAUAUUUAUCUCAUCGUAAAACAAAGAAUGAGAAGUAUCGAUGUGAAAGUUGCAAGAAAGAAUUCAUUUCGAAGAUUGGAUUUAAAUGCCAUCAGAAGAUUCACACUGGAGAAGGACUCUUGUCUUGCAAAUACUGUAAUCGUCAGUUCAACCAUUCCACCAAUUUAUUUAAUCACGUCAAGAUUCAUACCGGAGAGAAACCAUUUACCUGUGAUCAUUGCAAACAACGUUUUGCACUAAAACAACAUCUGAUACGAC